AGAGUGAACGCUGGCGGUAGGCCUAACACAUGCAAGUCGAACGGCAGCACAGUAGGAGCUUGCUCUUACGGGUGGCGAGUGGCGGACGGGUGAGGAAUACAUCGGAAUCUACCUUUUGGUGGGGGAUAACGUAGGGAAACUUACGCUAAUACCGCAUACGCCCUUCGGGGGAAAGCCGGGACCAGCAAUGGCCUGGUGCUGAUAGAUGAGCCGAUGUCGGAUUAGCUAGUGUGAGGUAAUGGCUCGCCAAGGCACGAUCCGUAGCUGGUCUGAGAGGAUGAUCAGCCACACUGGAACUGAGACACGGUCCAGACUCUACGGGAGCAGCAGUGGGAAUAGUGGACAAGUGGGACGCAAGCCUAGAUCCAGCCAUACCGCGU
rnacentral:rRNA from 1 species